rnacentral:rRNA from 1 species
UACGUAGGUGGCAAGCGUUGUCCGGAUUUACUGGGCGUAAAGAGCGCGCAGGCGGUCGAUCAAGUCGCGUGUGAAAGCCCCGGCUCAACUGGGGAGGGUCACGCGAUACUGAUCGACUCGAAGGCAGGAGAGGGUAGUGGAAUUCCCGGUGUAGUGGUGAAAUGCGUAGAUAUCGGGAGGAACACCAGUGGCGAAGGCGGACUACC